UCCUCGCUCAAAGAAUCGCAUUCAAAGCUCACGCACAGAGUCUUCCCCAAGACUCAUACCAUUUUCAAGCUUUGGGAGAAAGUCCCCGGACAUCCUGCCCGGUUCCUCUUUUCGGGGAGCCGGCUCUGUCAGGCAAUGCGGAAACGCGCCGCCAUAGAAGCAAUUCGAUAGCGGCUUACGCCCUGUUUCCUUCCCCUGCUCUUUCGAUCGUGCCCGACGCUUCGGUGGAAACAAUUGCGGUACGACGGGAGUGGGGAGAAGGGGUUUCAAUUGGGUUGCUUUUCGUCGAGGUUGUAUAGUCAUGCGAUUGCUCGCGCGGAUCACCUUGUGGUUUCUGCGUGGGUAACUCAAUGGGGCUCAUUCUUGAGGCGAGG
rnacentral:RNase_MRP_RNA from 2 species